UCUGGCCCCUCUGUCCAUCCUGUUCUGAAUUUGGGUGGGAAGCAGCGGGAUCCUAAAACAAACCAAUUAUGAAACAAUGGAUGGCCAGUGUUUCUAUGGAAACAGAAAGCAAGUUAGUGGAUGCCAGGGGUCGGGGGCAGGGAGAAAGGAAUGCGGAGUACUACGUGGACUGAACAGUGUUCCCCCAAAAUUCGUAGAUGGAAGCUAACUCCCGGUGUGACUAUAUUUGAAGAUUAGGACUGGGAUGUGGGUAACUAAGAUUAAAUGGGGCCAUGGGAGCGGGGCCCUGAUACAAUAGGAUUAGGGCCCUCCUAUGAAGAGAUACCAGGGAGCUUGCUCUCUUUCUCUCUGAGCGUGCACAAACAGGUCACAUGAGCACACAGGCAGUGCCUACAAGCCCAGAGAAGAAACCUCAGAAUGAAAUCUACUUUGCCAGCACCUUGAUGUUGGGACUUCUCAGGCUCCAGAACUCUCAGAUCUUCCACCAAGAAUCUCACGAUUCAUUCAAGAGCCCAACCCAGGACAGGUAUUCAGAGCCAUGCUAAAAAAGUACGUACCCAAAGC